rnacentral:rRNA from 1 species
CCUACGGGUGGCAGCAGUGAGGAAUAUUGGUCAAUGGACGAGAGUCUGAACCAGCCAAGUAGCGUGAAGGAUGACUGCCCUAUGGGUUGUAAACUUCUUUUAUAAAGGAAUAAAACGAGCCACGCGUGCCUUUUUGCAUGUACUUGAUGAAUAAGCAUCGGCUAACUCCGGGCCAGCAGCCGCGGUAAUACGGGGGAUCCGAGCGUUAUCCGGAUUUAUUGGGUUUAAAGGGAGCGGAGAUGGGUUGUUAAGUCAGUUGGGAAAGUUUGCGGCUCAACCGUAAAAUUGCAAUUGAUACUGGCAGUCUUGAGUGCAGGUGAGGUAGGCGGAAUUCGUGGUGUAGCGGUGAAAUGCUUAGAUAUCACGAAGAACCCCGAUUGCGAAGGCAGCUUACUAAACUGUAACUGACAUUGAUGCUCGAAAGUGUGGGUAUCAAACAGGAUUAGAUACCCGGGUAGUC